CUCCACUUUCGUGAAAACCCAGAGAACCAGGGAAGAGAGAGUGGAUAUGAAGUACAAAAAGAUUGAGAUGAGAAUGUUGAAAAAUCAGUUUUCUUCAGAUAAGAAAUCAUUGUUGACGAAGAAGUUUCAUACCUUUCUCAUGCUGAUGAAGAUAUUGAUUCGGAUCACGAUGAGGGUAACUACAACAAGGCUGUAUUGGAUUUGGUUUCCUUAGCAUCAAAAAUACUAAGGAUGAAUUACAAAUUCACGUAUAUCUUCCUCCGAAUUCAAGCCAAUGAGAAGGUCAAAGAAAAUUUGAGAAGGAUGAUAGGAAUAGGUCAAAGAAACUUUGAGGUUUUGCAAUGAUUUUUAGGUUUGCACAACCAGGUAAUGAUCCAGACUUUUCCUGUUUUUUUCUUUUGUUUUUCGUUAUUUAUUUUUUAUUAUUGUUAUUAAUUUUGUGUGUGUUUCGUUAUGCCUUCUGUUUACUUUCUUUUGAUCGAGUCAAUAGUUAGGAGAGACUUAAUGUGGUAGGGAACAUAAAGUGUUAAAAGUGGUUCGAAAGAUACUCUGAAGAAAGGGUCUGAAGCUAAAUCUAAGGUAUAUGGUUGGUUCCUUUUUAGUCUCUUUUAAGUGGAAUGAUUGCAUCUUAGUUUCCUAUUUUUUCCUUCAAAAGUAGAAUAGAUAAACCAAAAUGCGAAAAAAUAUAUAUCUUGAUUUUAUGUUGGUUAUUGAAUAUGUGUUUUGAUUAGUUUCUUCACUGAAGAAAAUUAGGAUCAUCAACUAUAGCACAAUGUAGUCCAUAAGAAACCAGUGAAGGUAGGAUAGAUGUGUAUGUCGUGAGUUGGUUUAUUAUGAGAGUGACAAGUGAUGCAUGGAUUGGAAUUUCAAGAUGUGUGAGGUUUCUUUUAGAGUUUAGGGUCUAGGCGUCUAGCUUGAACCAUCAAAUUAGACAUGGUCUAUUGCAUACAUUGAUUCUAAUGUGAAAGUUUGUAUGCAUCUGAUUGUUUGAGUGCGGGUAAACAAUAUAUCAUAAUUGUCUGCCAACUUAAUUAAUGAUUAUAAGUAUGGUCAGCAACUGUCCCAACUUAAUGAUUAUAAAUAUGAUAAGCAAGUGCCGCAAACCGCUUACAUAAUGUUUGCAGGUUAGUUUGGGUUCCAGAGAAAGCCUCUUAUAUGCAAGUGUAAGCAACUUUAUAAAAGAGGAGGUUACCGGCUGUAGACAGAACUUUCCUAAACAUAAACAACUAAAAGACCUUUUUGCAUUUGAGGUUACUAUCUCAAGGUGUAGUUUAUGUUUUUUUUUACCCCUGGGUGGAGAUCAAGUCUGAUUAACGUUUCUACCAGCUCUUAUUCUUCGUCAUUGUUUUAAGUUCCGUAUGUUUCUUGGUCAUUAUAUGUUGGUUAGGUUCCGUAAUGUAAUUCUUGAUAGGCUUUGGUUCACUAAGUUUUUGUGUUUAUAUAAUAUCUUUUUGGCUUGAAAGUGGAAACUGAUUACUGACUGCAUUUUCUUUAGAUAAACAUUAAGCAAUCAUCCACAUUUUCAUAAAUUAAUCACUACGUACAGAAUUAUGGGUUGGAGCAAUUUAUCUCAACGCGGUGGUAUUUUUGACGUUUUUUUUCCUCCUCCUAGCUACAAUAGCUUUCGCUUACCAUCUCCAAAUUUUCCUGUUUAUUCCGUUCCUUAAUGAUUUCAUGACUGUUCGGUGUAUUGGAUUGCUUAAAGUUGUGUAGGGCGAAACUUAGUAAGGUUACAAAUAUACUUUGUACAAAAUAGAAAAAGGUUGCAAAGACGAAUGAAACUUGGUGGGAUGCUGCAGAGACUGGGUCAACUUGAUCACAUACAGCAGAGACAAAUUGAAAACUGUUGAUUGUGGUAGCAAUGGUGAUCAUGUUGGAUGAUACAAUUGGGAAUUCUAUUAGUUCAACUUCAAUUGAACACAAAAUUAGCUGCACCGACACGGCAUACACAUCCUACUUCGAUUAAGCAGGGGUAAGUUUCUAUCUUUUAUUUUAUCAUUUAGAUUUUUUAAGCUUCAAGUAAAUGAUUUCACAAUCAUAGGGUAGAUGCGAAAAAUUCCUUUAUGCGAAGGUUGGAUUCUCAAUGUAUCUUAUUUGUUGGUUGUAUUUCUACUUUGACCAAUCAAUUAAAUGUAGGUUGGCCAAGUAUAUGAAAUAUAUAAUAUUUCUUAAUAUCAUAAAUAUGUGUGUUUUGGUAUGAUGGGAGAUGGCUCUUACAGAAGAAAUUAGGAUCAACAGCAAGGCAUUCGUAUACAAAUAUCGACUACGGAAACAUUAGAGGACGCUAGAGUUAUAUCUGACGAAAAUGUUCAGAUCGUAAGAGCUAUCAUGGAAUCUGAAGAAGGAUGCAACGACAUAUGAGCCGAACUCGGAAUCAAUAGGGAAAAUUAGUCAUCAUAAAAGUAAAAAAACUAACGGAAGAAACAUGAAUAUAUACAGAGUUGUUUAUUUAUUUAUUUUUCGCGGCAUGUAUCAACAUUUUUUUCUAAAUCAAAAUCGACCAUUAUCA